UCCAAGAUAAGAGUGGCACUAGCACUGCGAGAAACCGUGGCAUAAGAAUGGAAUGGCCAGGACCAUGAGGCAGCCUUUGAGCGCUCAAUACGAAGGACACAUCGAAGAGGAAGAGGGCCAGCUUUGGUGACGGCAUCGCGGAGUACCCCCUCAAGUUAUGUGGUAGAGGCAUCUCUUUUAGCAGCUGUGAUAUAGGCAUAUUAUAGACAGGAUGAUACCGAAAGAAGGACAAAGCCCCCUGCCCAGUCGCUUCAUUCGUGCGCCAAAAUAUGGAACGACUAUCCAAAACUUUAGCAUAUUCGAGAGAGUUAAGCGAAGAAUUUUUCAUUCCCCUAUUUAAUCGUUUCAAAUCGGUUUAGCCAAAGGAUUCUGCAGCAUUCAGGCCCUUGAGACAUCAGUGAGGUACGUGGGAGGAUACAUUUUGGGGGUCAAAGCAGAACAGCAGGUGACUGCCUCCAACGGAUUUAAUUUGUCGAAAAGAUUGCUCUGCAGAACGUAGCUGUAGCUGGGGUCAUAGACUGAUUGCAUAAUGGCAUAAUUGACCGAUAUGUUGGACAAGUACUCUAUGGGUAUGUACUUGUAAGCCCCCCACAGAACCUCAGAACAGAUCAGAUCAGAGCAGAACAGAACAGAGCUCACAGUCGAGUCCCGUCGAAUCCAACGGUGGGGCCCACGAAAUGUCAUUGGACAGGCAAUAAAAAACGGACUCACAGAUGCAGAAGCAUAGCGACGGAUUAAGUGGAUACAAUACGAGUAUCUCUGCGUUCAGGUCUCAUAUUCUGAAUUCUGAAUGUGUAUUUGUAUGCGCUAAUGCGACAACAAAAGAGAUUUCUUUUGAUUAAAUCCAAACUGGCAGAUAGACAGACCAGGCCGACCGACAGACCGACUUGAGUCUGCGGUACUGCGGCCAUGGGGCACUUACGUAAUGGAUAUAGAGCUAAG
rnacentral:sRNA from 1 species